UACGUAGGGGGCUAGCGUUGUCCGGAUUUAUUGGGCGUAAAGAGCGUGGAGGCGGCCAGGUAGGUCUGCUGUGAAAACUCGAGGCUCAACCUCGAGACGUCGGCGGAAACCAUCUGGCUAGAGUCCGGAAGAGGAGAGUGGAAUUCCUGGUGUAGCGGUGAAAUGCGCAGAUAUCAGGAAGAACACCCGUGGCGAAGGCGGCUCUCUGGGACGGUACUGACGCUGAGACGCGAAAGCGUGGGGAGCGAACAGG
rnacentral:rRNA from 1 species